GACGAACGCUGGCGGCGUGCUUAACACAUGCAAGUCGAACGGAAAGGCCCUGCUUUUGUGGGGUGCUCGAGUGGCGAACGGGUGAGUAACACGUGAGUAACCUGCCCUUGACUUUGGGAUAACUUCAGGAAACUGGGGCUAAUACCGGAUAGGAGCUCCUGCUGCAUGGUGGGGGUUGGAAAGUUUCGGCGGUUGGGGAUGGACUCGCGGCUUAUCAGCUUGUUGGUGGGGUAGUGGCUUACCAAGGCUUUGACGGGUAGCCGGCCUGAGAGGGUGACCGGCGACAUUGGGACUGAGAUACGGCCCAGUCUCCUACGGGAGGCAGCAGUGGGGAAUACUGCACAAUGGGCGGAAGCCUGAUGCAGCAACGCCGCGUGCGGGAUGACGGCCUUCGGGUUGUAAACCGCUUUCGCCUGUGACGAAGCGUGAGUGACGGUAAUGGGUAAAGAAGCACCGGCUAACUACGUG
rnacentral:rRNA from 1 species